rnacentral:lncRNA from 1 species
GGCUGACCAUGGAACUCACUGGCAUUAUAAUGGAUCAGGGAAGCCUGCUAUGCACCUGGCUAUAAAAGCCUUUGCAGAAGUCGCACUGUGUGCACGUGUGCAUUUAUACGUGGAAAUAUUUGCAUUUUACAGAUACAGACAAUACAGGGUUGACUUGGGACCUUCAGGACUGAGAAGAAUCAAAGGACUAUCCUACUGUAAGGAUCAGAUCCUUCCCAGUGACCUUGACUUCAGUCAACUAUAGCACUUGUUGCAAAGAAAUUAAGAUUUUCCUGCCACCUUUCAGAUCAGCAGCUUGAUCUAAAGAGAGUCCAGUACUUCCUGCAACAGUUCAUUAUGUGAGAAUAAUGAAGAGAAGGAUCUAAUAGCACACAGAUCAAACUGCCUUUUGAGGUAUCAGGGCCCUGAGGUCAGAGCAUCACAUUGCCACAAUGGAUCCCAGGAGAAAGAAAAAGUGUGUUAUUUUGAAAGACAUAAAAAUUUGGAACGCUG